GGGCAAUUGGCGGGUGCUAUACAUGCAGUAGAACGCUGAAGAGAGGAGCUUGCUCUUCUUGGAUGAGUUGCGAACGGGUGAGUAACGCGUAGGUAACCUGCCUUGUAGCGGGGGAUAACUAUUGGAAACGAUAGCUAAUACCGCAUAACAAUGGAUGACCCAUGUCAUUUAUUUGAAAGGGGCAAAUGCUCCACUACAAGAUGGACCUGCGUUGUAUUAGCUAGUAGGUGAGGUAAGGGCUCACCUAGGCGACGAUACAUAGCCGACCUGAGAGGGUGAUCGGCCACACUGGGACUGAGACACGGCCCAGACUCCUACGGGAGGCAGCAGUAGGGAAUCUUCGGCAAUGGGGGCAACCCUGGACCGGAGGCCAACCGCCCGCCGUUGAGGUGGAAAGAAAGGGUUUUUCCGGAUUCGUUAAAGCUUCUGUUGUAAGUCAAGAACGAGUGUGAGAGUGGAAAGUUUCACACUUGUUGACGGUAGCUUACCCAGAAAGGGACGGGCUAACUACGUGCCAGCAGCCGCGGUAAUACGUAGGUCCCGAGCGUUGUCCGGGAUUUAUUGGGCGUAAAGCGAGCGCAGGCGGUUUGAUAAGUCUGAAGUUAAAGGCUGUGGCUCAACCAUAGUUCGCUUUGGAAACUGUCAAACUUGAGUGCAGAAGGGGAGAGUGGAAUUCCAUGUGUAGCGGUGAAAUGCGUAGAUAUAUGGAGGAACACCGGUGGCGAAAGCGGCUCUCUGGUCUGUAACUGACGCUGAGGCUCGAAAGCGUGGGGAGCGAACAGGAUUAGAUACCCUGGUAGUCCACGCCGUAAACGAUGAGUGCUAGGUGUUGGAUCCUUUCCGGGAUUCAGUGCCGCAGCUAACGCAUUAAGCACUCCGCCUGGGGAGUACGACCGCAAGGUUGAAACUCAAAGGAAUUGACGGGGGGCCCGCACAAGCGGUGGAGCAUGUGGGUUUAAUUCGAAAGCAACGCGAAGAACCUUUACCAGGUCUUGACAUCCCGAUGCUAUUUCUAGAGAUAGAAAGUUACUUCGGGUACAUCGGUGACAGGUGGUGCAUGGUUGUCGUCAGCUCGUGUCGUGAGAUGUUGGGUUUAAGUCCCCGCCAACGGAGGCCGCCAACCUCCCUAUUGUUAGUUGCCAUCAUUCAGUUGGGCACUCUAGCGAGACUGCCGGUAAUAAACCGGAGGAAGGUGGGGAUGACGUCAAAUCAUCAUGCCCCUUAUGACCUGGGCUACACACGUGCUACAAUGGUUGGUACAACGAGUUGCGAGUCGGUGACGGCAAGCUAAUCUCUUAAAGCCAAUCUCAGUUCGGAUUGUAGGCUGCAACUCGCCUACAUGAAGUCGGAAUCGCUAGUAAUCGCGGAUCAGCACGCCGCGGUGAAUACGUUCCCGGGCCUUGUACACACCGCCCGUCACACCACGAGAGUUUGUAACACCCGAAGUCGGUGAGGUAACCUUUUGGAGCCAGCCGCCUAAAGGUGGGUAUGGA
rnacentral:rRNA from 1 species